UACGGAGGGUGCAAGCGUUAUCCGGAUUCACUGGGUUUAAAGGGUGCGUAGGUGGGCAAGUAAGUCAGUGGUGAAAUCUCCGGGCUUAACCCGGAAACUGCCAUUGAUACUAUUUGUCUUGAAUACUGUGGAGGUCAGCGGAAUAUGUCAUGUAGCGGUGAAAUGCUUAGAUAUGACAUAGAACACCAAUUGCGAAGGCAGCUGGCCACACAAAUAUUGACACUGAGGCACGAAAGCGUGGGGAUCAAACAGG
rnacentral:rRNA from 1 species